rnacentral:rRNA from 1 species
GACGAACCGUGCAAACGUUGUUCGGAAUCACUGGGCUUAAAGGGCGCGUAGGCGGGCCAGCCAGUCUGUGGUGAAAGCCCCCGGCUUAACCGGGGAAGUGCCGUGGAUACUGCUGGCCUCGAGGAGGAUAGGGGCAUCUGGAACGGUCGGUGGAGCGGUGAAAUGCGUUGAUAUCGACCGGAACUCCGGUGGCGAAGGCGGCAUACUGGACCACAUCUGACGCUGAGGCGCGAAAGCCAGGGGAGCAAACGGG